UGGGCAAGAAGCAGGCACCACAUCCGGGAAGAAGUUUGUGCUCAAGGUGGCGGCGGGCAAGAAGCAGCAGAAUUGGUGAGACUUGAGAGGCUAGGGUUUGUCUUGUUCCAGUGAACUGCAGGCUUGAUGUGCAUAUAUGUGACUAUUUUCUUAUGAUGAACUUGAAGAUGGUGGUUAAGGUAUUCAUGGUGGAGGGAAAGGUUGAUGUUGGUCUUGGUCCUAUCUAGGCGCAUGGGAGUAAGCUCGAGCUGCAGACGAGCUCAGACUCUAUAGGAGGAGCAUGUUCCGCUGCGCCUCUCCCACCUCCUCGGCGCACAAGGGGAUGGCCAGCGCCGCGCAGCAGCAGGGUGUUGAUCACAAGAUAGUAAAUGAUUUCUCUAUUAGUAGAGGUCUGAAGGUUCGAGAAGGGACGAAAGAUGAAGAAUUUGCCUGAAGAAAAUAUUGAACAAAAAGCUCCAGAUGGCUUCCUAGGGGUGAUGC